UGCCUAUGAAUCGGAAUCCGCGAUGGGAGGCGGUGAACGUGGAGGCUUAUAAAGGUGGCAACUUACCAUAACCCAUCUAGCGAUUUGCGAAAGAAAGUUGCAAAA
rnacentral:sRNA from 1 species